UACCAUGCAGUCGAACGGCAGCACGGGAGCAAUCCUGGUGGCGAGUGGCGAACGGGUGAGUAAUACAUCGGAACGUGUCCUGGAGUGGGGGAUAGCCCGGCGAAAGCCGGAUUAAUACCGCAUACGCUCUGAGGAGGAAAGGGGGGGAUCUUAGGACCUCUCGCUCAAGGGGCGGCCGAUGGCAGAUUAGCUAGUUGGUGGGGUAAAGGCCUACCAAGGCGACGAUCUGUAGCUGGUCUGAGAGGACGACCAGCCACACUGGGACUGAGACACGGCCCAGACUCCUACGGGAGGCAGCAGUGGGGAAUUUUGGACAAUGGGCGCAAGCCUGAUCCAGCAAUGCCGCGUGUGUGAAGAAGGCCUUCGGGUUGUAAAGCACUUUUGUCCGGAAAGAAAACACGCCUGUUAAUACCGGGUGUGGAUGACGGUACCGGAAGAAUAAGCACCGGCUAACUACGUGCCAGCAGCCGCGGUAAUACGUAGGGUGCAAGCGUUAAUCGGAAUUACUGGGCGUAAAGCGUGCGCAGGCGGUUCGUUAAGACAGAUGUGAAAUCCCCGGGCUUAACCUGGGAACUGCAUUUGUGACUGGCGGACUCGAGUAUGGCAGAGGGGGGUAGAAUUCCACGUGUAGCAGUGAAAUGCGUAGAGAUGUGGAGGAAUACCGAUGGCGAAGGCAGCCCCCUGGGCCAAUACUGACGCUCAUGCACGAAAGCGUGGGGAGCAAACAGGAUUAGAUACCCUGGUAGUCCACGCCCUAAACGAUGUCAACUGGUUGUCGGGUCUUCAUUGACUUGGUAACGAAGCUAACGCGUGAAGUUGACCGCCUGGGGAGUACGGUCGCAAGAUUAAAACUCAAAUGAAAUUUGACGGA
rnacentral:rRNA from 1 species